CGUUAAAACACCGAUUCCCGUACGAUCACCGAAGUUAAUCAACAUCGAGCCUGAUUAGUAACUAGAUGGGUAACCCCUUCGGAAUACCAUAUACUG